UUAAUGGCCGCAGUAUUUUGACUGUGCAAAGGUAGCAUAAUCAUUAGUUUCUUAAUUAGGAACUGGAAUGAAAGGUUGAACGAGAAAAUAACUGUCUCUUGAUUAAUUAUUUAGAAUUUUAUUUUUAAGUUAAAAAGCUUAAAUAUAUUUAAAAGACGAGAAGACCCUAUAGAGUUUUAUAUAAUUAAUUGGUUAUUUAUAUAAUUGAAUUAUUUUAUUUUCCUAUAAAAUUGUAUUUGAUUGGGGUGAUUUAGAAAUUUAAAUAACUUUUUAUUAGUUUUACAUUAAUUUAUGUUUUUUUGAUCCAAAGAUUUUGAUUAUAAGAUUAAAUUACCUUAGGGAUAACAGCGUAAUUUUUUUAGAGAGUUYUUAUCGAUAAAAAAGUUUGCGACCUCGAUGUUGGAUUAAAAUAAAUUUUUGGUGUAGAAGCUAAAAUAUUAGGUCUGUUCGACCUUUAAAAUUUUACAUGAUCUGAGUUUAAACCGGUGUGAGCCARGUUGGUUUCUAUCUUUAAAGAUAAUUUUUAUAUUUUAGUACGAAAGGACCAAAUAUAAGUAAAAUUUAUUUAAAAUUGAAUAUUAAU
rnacentral:rRNA from 1 species